AUGUCCAAACCCGAGUUGCAGCUGGUGGGGCAGCCAUCUGCAGCUUCCCUAACUUCCCCAUCCCGGGUGUGCUGUUUAGGGAUAUCUCACCCCUCUUGACAGACCCAGACUCCUUCCCAGCUGCCAUCUGCCUCCAGGCCAAUCACGUGAAGUCCACGCACUGUGGCAAGAUUGACUAUAUUGUAGGUCUAGACUCCAGGGGCUUCCUGUUUGGCCUUUCCCUAGCUCAGGAGCUGGGCAUGGGCUAUGUGCUCAUCCAGAAGCACGGGAAGCUGCCGGGCCCCACUGUGUCAGCCUCCUAUGCUCUGGAGUAUGGGAAGGCUGAGCUGGAAAUACAGAAAGAUGCCUUAGAACCCCGGGCAGAGAGUGGUCAUUGUGGAUGAUCUCCUGGCUAUUGGAGGAACCAUGUGUGAGGCCUGUGAGCUGCUGCACCAGCUACUGGCAGAGGUAGUGGAGUGUGUGAGCCUGGUGGAGCUGAACUCCCUGAAGGGCAGGGAGAAGCUAGGAGAAGUUCUUCUCUCUCCUGCAGUAUGACUGAGGAGCUGGUGGCAAGGUAGCCACACCCCUCAGUAACUAACUGCACUGCACGGUGGC